CUACGGGGCGCAGCAGUGGGGAAUAUUGCACAAUGGACGAAAGUCUGAUGCAGCAACGCCGCGUGGAGGAUGACACAUUUCGGUGCGUAAACUCCUUUUAUAUAGGAAGAUAAUGACGGUACUAUAUGAAUAAGCACCGGCUAACUCCGUGCCAGCAGCCGCGGUAAUACGGAGGGUGCAAGCGUUACUCGGAAUCACUGGGCGUAAAGAGCGUGUAGGCGGGUAGUUAAGUCAGAAGUGAAAUCCAAUAGCUCAACUAUUGAACUGCUUUUGAAACUGAUUACCUAGAAUAUGGGAGAGGUAGAUGGAAUUUCUGGUGUAGGGGUAAAAUCCGUAGAGAUCAGAAGGAAUACCGAUUGCGAAGGCGAUCUACUGGAACAUUAUUGACGCUGAGACGCGAAAGCGUGGGGAGCAAACAGGAUUAGAUACCCGCGUAGUC
rnacentral:rRNA from 1 species